AGUAAUGCCUAGGAAUCUGCCUGGUAGUGGGGGACGAACGUUUCGAAAGGAACGCUAAUACCGCAUACGUCCUACGGGAGAAAGCAGGGACCUUCGGGCCUUGCGCUAUCAGAUGAGCCUAGGUCGGAUUAGCUAGUUGGUGAGGUAAUGGCUCACCAAGGCGACGAUCCGUAACUGGUCUGAGAGGAUGAUCAGUCACACUGGAACUGAGACACGGUCCAGACUCCUACGGGAGGCAGCAGCC
rnacentral:rRNA from 1 species